UCCAUCUUCCCAGGAUUAUCAUCAUCCACCUCCAUCUUCCCAAGAUUAUCAUCAUCCACCACCAUCCCAGGAUUAUCACCGUCCACCAUCUUCCCAAGAUUACCAUCCUCCACCACCUUCCCAAGAUUAUCAUUCUCCACCACCUUCCCAGGAGUACCAUCCUCCACCACCUUCCCAAGAUUAUCAACCUCCUCCACCUUCCCAAGAUUUCCAUCAUCCUCCACCUGCUAGAUCAGACAGUUCUUAUUCUGAGCCCUACAACCACCAGCAAUACUCACCAGAUCAGUCACAGAACUUAGGUCCUAAUUACCCUUCUCAUGAAACUCCCUCUUCUUACUCUCUUCCCCAUUUUCAAUCUUAUCCAAGUUU
rnacentral:lncRNA from 1 species